CAGGUGCUGCAUGGCUGUCGUCAGCUCGUGUCGUGAGGAUGUUCGGUUAAGUCCGCUAACGAGCGCAACCCUCGCUGUGUGUUACAAGUGUCACACGGAACUGCCGGUCAUAAACCGGAGGAAGGUGGGGAUGACGUCAAGUCAGCAUGGCCUUUAUAUCCUGGGCUACACACACGCUACAAUGGGAAGGGACAAUAGGUUGCGAAGCCGCGAGGCGGAGCCAAUCCAGCAAAACUUCCCUCAGUUCAGAUUGCAGGCUGCAACUCGCCUGCAUGAAGUUGGAGUUGCUAGUAAACGCAGGUCAGCCAUACUGCGUUGAAUACGUUCCCGGGGCUU
rnacentral:rRNA from 1 species